rnacentral:rRNA from 1 species
UAAUGUAUGGGGAUCUGCCCGAUAGAGGGGAAUAACUACUGGAAACGGUGGCUAAUACCGCAUAAUGUCUACGGACCAAAGCAGGGGCUCUUCGGACCUUGCACUAUCGGAUGAACCCAUAUGGGAUUAGCUAGUAGGUGGGGUAAAGGCUCACCUAGGCGACGAUCUCUAGCUGGUCUGAGAGGAUGAUCAGCACAUGGGACUGAGACACGGCCCAG